GGAGGUGUGCCAGAGUGGUUGAUCGGGGCAGUCUUGAAAACUGCUAUACCAGAAAUGGUAUCGGAGGUUCGAAUCCUCCCACCUCCG
rnacentral:tRNA from 1 species